ensembl:lncRNA
GAAAAUCAUAGUGUUGGGUACAUGCCUGUUACAUAUGCGCCCUAUCAAGCGGACAUAAAUGGGGGUUCUACACCAUGUAUAUCUACACGGAUACUAUAGAAUAUCAAUCAGUUGGUGAUCAUCAUGUUCUGCUACUAAGUGUUUGUUCGUCUGAGAUUGAAUUCUGAACCGAGCUCGGUGUGUGUUCGGCUCCAGCCUCCACUGCAUCCUUUCCUCAUGAAGGUCUUACAGAUGAGAAGCUCACAGAGGAGUCAGGAGUCAGCACACGCAGUUUCUCUGCCUUCAGGCGGAGGCGUGUUGAGGUAUCU